GAUCAAGUUGGAGGAGGUUGCUGUUUUGCACUAAAUUCUCUAAAUUCUCAUAUCUCACUUCCAGACGUGAUCGCUGUGGUUGCAAACCUACCAAAGAAGAUGUAAAGAGAUGCUUCAUGUUGGAAUUUGAUAGAUCUUAAGUUCAAUUACUCUCUGCUGCUACAAGGACAA